rnacentral:rRNA from 1 species
GAACGCUGGCGGCGUGCUUAACACAUGCAAGUCGAACGAUGACUUUUGUGCUUGCACAAAAUGAUUAGUGGCGAACGGGUGAGUAACACGUGAGUAACCUGCCCUUAACUUCGGGAUAAGCCUGGGAAACCGGGUCUAAUACCGGAUACGACGGAUUCCCGCAUGGGGGUCCGUGGAAAGCUUGAUGCGGUUUUGGAUGGACUCGCGGCCUAUCAGCUAGUUGGUUGGGGUAAUGGCCCACCAAGGCGACGACGGGUAGCCGGCCUGAGAGGGUGACCGGCCACACUGGGACUGAGACACGGCCCAGACUCCUACGGGAGGCAGCAGUGGGGAAUAUUGCACAAUGGGCGAAAGCCUGAUGCAGCGACGCCGCGUGAGGGACGAAGGCCUUCGGGUUGUAAACCUCUUUCAGCAGGGAAGAAGCGAAAGUGACGGUACCUGCAGAAGAAGCGCCGGCUAACUACGUGCCAGCAGCCGCGGUAAUACGUAGGGCGCAAGCGUUAUCCGGAAUUAUUGGGCGUAAAGAGCUCGUAGGCGGUUUGUCGCGUCUGCUGUGAAAGCCCGGGGCUCAACCCCGGGUCUGCAGUGGGUACGGGCAGA